rnacentral:rRNA from 1 species
GAUGAACGCUGGCGGCGUGCCUAAUACAUGCAAGUCGAGCGAAGGGACGAGAAGCUUGCUUGUGUGAUGUUAGCGGCGGACGGGGGAGGAGCAAGUGGAGAACCUACCUAUACGACUGGGAUGACUUCGGGAUACCGGAGUGGCUAACGGGUGAUAUUUUGGACCGCAUGGAUGAAGGUGAUGGACGGUCUUGCGGUCACUUGGAGAUGGAGCCGCGCGGCUUUAGCAAGUUGGUAAGGUAACGGCUUACCAAGGCAACGAUGCCUAGCCGCCCUGAGAGGGUGAUCGGCGACACUGGUACUGCUACACGGUCCAGCAUACUACUAGAGGCAGCAGUAGGGAAUCUUCCUCAAUGGUCGAAAGACUGCCGGUGCAACGCCGCGUGGGUGAUGAUGGUCUCCUGCGCGUAAAACUCUUCUAUCACGGAAGAACCAAUCUGUCAUCAUCUGUGCACGUCUUGACGGUACCUAAUCAGAAAGCCCCGGCUAACUACGUG